GAUUAAGUUAUUAAGGGCGCACGGUGGAUGCCUUGGCACUAGAAGCCGAUGAAGGACGUUACUAACGACGAUAUGCUUUGGGGAGCUGUAAGUAAGCUUUGAUCCAGAGAUUUCCGAAUGGGGAAACCCAGCAUGAGUUAUGUCAUGUUAUCGAUAUGUGAAUACAUAGCAUAUCAGAAGGCACACCCGGAGAACUGAAACAUCUUAGUACCCGGAGGAAGAGAAAGAAAAUUCGAUUCCCUUAGUAGCGGCGAGCGAAACGGGAAGAGCCCAAACCAACAAGCUUGCUUGUUGGGGUUGUAGGACACUCUAUACGGAGUUACAAAGGACGACAUUAGACGAAUCAUCUGGAAAGAUGAAUCAAAGAAGGUAAUAAUCCUGUAGUCGAAAAUGUUGUCUCUCUUGAGUGGAUCCUGAGUACGACGGAGCACGUGAAAUUCCGUCGGAAUCUGGGAGGACCAUCUCCUAAGGCUAAAUACUCUCUAGUGACCGAUAGUGAACCAGUACCGUGAGGGAAAGGUGAAAAGCACCCCGGAAGGGGAGUGAAAUAGAACCUGAAACCGUGUGCUUACAAGUAGUCAGAGCCCGUUAAUGGGUGAUGGCGUGCCUUUUGUAGAAUGAACCGGCGAGUUACGAUUUGAUGCAAGGUUAAGCAGUAAAUGUGGAGCCGUAGCGAAAGCGAGUCUGAAUAGGGCGUUUAGUAUUUGGUCGUAGACCCGAAACCAGGUGAUCUACCCUUGGUCAGGUUGAAGUUCAGGUAACACUGAAUGGAGGACCGAACCGACUUACGUUGAAAAGUGAGCGGAUGAACUGAGGGUAGCGGAGAAAUUCCAAUCGAACCUGGAGAUAGCUGGUUCUCUCCGAAAUAGCUUUAGGGCUAGCCUCAAGUGAUGAUUAUUGGAGGUAGAGCACUGUUUGGACGAGGGGCCCCUCUCGGGUUACCGAAUUCAGACAAACUCCGAAUGCCAAUUAAUUUAACUUGGGAGUCAGAACAUGGGUGAUAAGGUCCGUGUUCGAAAGGGAAACAGCCCAGACCACCAGCUAAGGUCCCAAAAUAUAUGUUAAGUGGAAAAGGAUGUGGCGUUGCCCAGACAACUAGGAUGUUGGCUUAGAAGCAGCCAUCAUUUAAAGAGUGCGUAAUAGCUCACUAGUCGAGUGACACUGCGCCGAAAAUGUACCGGGGCUAAACAUAUUACCGAAGCUGUGGAUUGUCCUUUGGACAAUGGUAGGAGAGCGUUCUAAGGGCGUUGAAGCAUGAUCGUAAGGACAUGUGGAGCGCUUAGAAGUGAGAAUGCCGGUGUGAGUAGCGAAAGACGGGUGAGAAUCCCGUCCACCGAUUGACUAAGGUUUCCAGAGGAAGGCUCGUCCGCUCUGGGUUAGUCGGGUCCUAAGCUGAGGCCGACAGGCGUAGGCGAUGGAUAACAGGUUGAUAUUCCUGUACCACCUAUAAUCGUUUUAAUCGAUGGGGGGACGCAGUAGGAUAGGCGAAGCGUGCGAUUGGAUUGCACGUCUAAGCAGUAAGGCUGAGUAUUA
rnacentral:rRNA from 1 species